UACAGAGGGUGCAAGCGUUGUCCGGAAUCGCUGGGCGUAAAGGGUGCGUAGGCGGCCUGAUAAGUCGGGGGUGAAAUGCUGCGGCUUAACCGCAGCACUGCCUUCGAGACUGUCGGGCUUGAGCACGGUAGAGGCAGAUGGAAUUCCCGGUGUAGCGGUGGAAUGCGUAGAGAUCGGGAAGAACAUCGGUGGCGAAGGCGGUCUGCUGGGCCGUUGCUGACGCUGAGGCGCGACAGCGUGGGGAGCAAACAGG
rnacentral:rRNA from 1 species